UACCCUGACCAAGAAGAGACAACAAUUAAAAACUGCAAUUAAAGCAACAUCCCAGUUUGAAAAUGAAUGCCAUUUUCUGCCCAUCCUCCCUGCUCUGUUACCAAUAAAACACUUACAGACACUAUUCAUGCAGACAUAAAGUGCUAAUGGCUACCUGUUAACGUGUUUCAUCAUGCCAACAUUUUUGCUCUGAUUUUGACAGUUCCCUUUUUGUUAUUUUAAGCUAAGGGAGCACUAAUCUGGGUUGGAACUGAAGGCUGCAAGAAUUACAAUCUACAGCAACUGCACAACUAAUGACACCAUUUCCUUCCACUCUGCACCAUUUCAUGGACAGUUUUCUUGCAGCCAAGCUCCUUUCCAGACUAUAAGAAGUUGGAAGUGCCAGAGCAUAGAAGUAGGGUGGGAAGAUUGUAAGAUGUUGCUAAGAAGUCCCAGGAAUUCUUGGCCCGGUCCUGUGUGUUUGGGGGUCGAUGGGGGGGGAAGAGAGCAAUGUGAACACCAAAAUCAAACGUACUGGGAAAGUCACUUUGAAUGGCUUAAGGAGAAAAAAAAUUAAGUGGUCAUUCUUAUAUGACUUCAGGGAUGAGUCUUCAGGGCUAGAACAACUGCUGGUGCAAAUUGGCCAUGUGAUUUACACCUCAAGGGCUGCCCUAGGUGUGACUACAGGCGGUUCACCAGCUCUUCUGGAUGUGGAAAGAACAAAACUCCUUGGGUAUCACCUCAGCAGUCGCUGACUCCAGCUGGACAUUUGGACAGGUACCUGAUGCCUGGUGUCCUCCACACUCAAAAAUGUGCUGGGCUUGUCUCUGCGUGCCCCACAUGAGCACACACUGAGAAUACGCCCACUGACAUCCAUGGUGUUACAGCAGGUGAAAAUCUGCUUGUGUGGAAGAAGAGCCUGGUCCUCUGUGAUUACCAACAGCACGGGUCAGAGCCAUGAUCUGAUUUUCCACGGAGCAGGAGAAGAGUAGAAGCUCUCUGGUCUCCAGAGCAGUUGCAGCCCUGCAGAGAUACCCAGCGGCUUUGAGCAUACACACAGGGACAAUUCCUUUCCCCAGCUUUGCAACUGUUUGUUAGAGCAAAUUAAGAGUGCUAACAAGUCUUACUGGAGCCCAUUGCAAGGAGGUUAAGAAACGCGACUUAUCUGAUGCAAUCAGCAAUGUAAUGCAACCUCCCAAGCCCCAGUUCAGGCAAAAUAUAUGCAAGUAACCAAAAGGGAUGAGCAUAACCUUGAGGGAAGAGUUGGGGAUGCUCCAAUCCAACCUGCAAUGCCAGAAAGACAAGAGAGCACAGCAUGGAACAGAAAAUUCCCCGCCUGCUUUGUGUCUUUUGCUGCUUCCAAGGACUCCCACUCUGUUCAGGCCAGAAAGAGGACACCGGUUUGGAAGGAUCUCUAGUCUGACUCAACAUGGGUAGUUUUUAAUUUUUUAUGAAAAAGACUGCUCUGCAGUACAAGCAUCACAACAGGUCGAGGCUGCCUCAUCUGCAGACCCCUUACGCUCCCGGGAUCCUGACCAUGAUGCUCCCAGGAUCCUGACCAUGAUGCUCCCAGGAUCCUGACCAUGAUGCUCCCAGGAUCCUGAUCAUGAUAGGAUUUAAAAGCCCUUUGUUGGGCUGUGUUACAUGGUGUGAUCUAGAAAGCCGUCACAGCCGAGGCACCGUGGGCUUUCGGCUGCGCCGACGCUCGGGCUCCCCCCUUGCCUACACUGGACUUUGAGAAGGCGUUGAGCCAGCUCAGAUAAGUCAGCACUUUCUAUCAACACCCCUUCCAAGCCAAGCUGCACAUUGCGACGCCUCUCCCAGCACGGGUUGGUGGAGCUGGGCUUCACCCUGGCACAGCUCCCAGACAAAAGGUGGGCUGCUCCACCAUGCUGCUCCAGCAUGCUGGCCCACUGUCCUCUCCUGGCAGCGUCCUUCCCAUCCCAAACACAAACAAAUGGGUGAGGAGCAGGUGACAGAAGCGUUACAGAUGCCUAAAAUGGUUUAGAGUGAUCUACGAGCAUCUUUUGGUUGUAAUGCUCCAUUAAUGUGACAUUUAUGUGGGGUAAUAUAAUACCGCUCACUUAGGAGCACCUACAUCAGCCAGUCAGGUUUCCCUGUGCACAAAGGAUGACAUGGAUAACUGGGAGGGUUCUUGCGUGGCCACAGACCCUACAGAUGGAGUUACAGGGGACAGGAGGCACCACUGCUCAAAGGGGACAUGCUGGGUCUCUCCCUGAGGGAGUGGAGAACGGAGCAAUGUCUCAGGAGGCAGAACGAGAGAGCUGCAAACAGGGAAAAAAAAAAAACCCAGCUUGAACUUAUGGAGCUGAACAGUCCCUCUCUGCAGAACAGGAAACACAGUACCCAAGGAAGGUCUGCCCCAGUCCAAAGGCACAGCCUUGCUGUCAUCUCCACACAACCUGCAGCGUAGUUUGGGCAUCCAUCUGAUUUCACAGCAUGCAGUGUUACACUCUGUAGCUAAAUCCACCUCUAAUGUCACACAGGCCUUGUAAGGGCUCCUGUUUGGUUACCCUGAUUUAUAAACACCACUGCAGUGGGCUGGAGAAGGGAUGGCCUCGCAACCGCAAGCCUUCGUUAUCCCCCACAAAUUACUUGUUUGCAGCUCUUGAACUGCCUAAUUUAUUUUGCCCCUAUGUUUUGGCCAUCCAUCUAGUCUUUUCCUAAUGGUGCUCCGAACGCUGACACUUUGGGAAACCUCUAAAAUGCUGUAACCCUCACACGGCCCCGCCGAGGUGAAAGGACCAAGGGCAACCGCUGAAUCUUCCCAGAACAACAGAGGGAUCAUCCAUCUCCUCUUCCCUCCUCCCCGCCCACCACUCCACCCCAGGCACUGUUCCCAUCUCAGUGUGCUUGAGCAAAGCACAAAACCAGGCGAGAUGUGGGCACCUCAGCACCUCUGGAUGUCGAAGGCCACAGACUGUACCCGGUGACCUGGAAGGUGUCCCCCCCCAGACAUUUGCUCCUACAGCUCUGCCUCUAAGAAAAACCAUCAGAGAAAAAAAUCACAAGGCCGGCUGAGUUUGGGUUGUGGCAAUGCCAUUUGGAGAAGAAGUGGGAAAAUCAAUAGGUACAGUCUGCAUUUCGGGCAAUGGGGGAGGAAUUUAAACCAAAAUUGAGUCUGAUCAAAAACUCAAGUCAACAGAAAGAAUUUCACAGGUUUCAUCAUUUAAGUGCUCACUGAGUAGAAAAUGAACAAUCAGCACUUUGGAAUAAAUGCAACAAGUAUCACAGGGUGUUGUCACCAGCCUUUUGUGGGACACCCACGAAUCCAGAAGAGGCAUCUAGUGUCACAGGGAAAAUGCUGAGGACACAGAAAGUGUCACCGAAGGACAGGCAGAACAAACACAGAACAAACUCCUACCAACAGAUUAAAUUCAUGUCACGGUAUUUUACCCACAUUUUGCACUAGUCAGAUACCUUGAAAUAUGUGCACGCAACCAGAGCCACGACACCAGACCUUUAAAGACCUGAGAGCCGCAGAUUAAAAACAUGUUGGAACGCUUACCGUGUCCAGUGCCAAAAAUGUGUCUCUAACCUGUAGGAAGAAAUGGGUGUGGAGCCGCUCACAGAACGAUCACUGCACUCACACAGCAGGGUACAAUGUCCCCCUCUUUGUUUCUCCCUUGUGAGAAAAAACAGCUACUAAAAUAUGACCGAGGAGCUGCUUCAGCUCCCCCAAAUUUUUUGAGAAGUACACAGAUUCGGAUGGGAAAACGAGGUGGGAAUUAGAGCAAUCCCACGUAAUUCACAAAGACUGAAGCCACUUUGCCAUGGACCAACACGAACCACUGAUCUCAGUGCUCAGUUGGUGCUUGCUGCUUCUUUUUGGGGACUUCAGUCAGCUCCUGCGUGGCACUGAAGCGCUGCGAGUAGAUACAAAAACGUACACAAAGCCUAAAAGUAUUUCAUUGGAAUUGAAGCUCAAUUUACAGCUCCCGAGACUCAAGGGUGUGUUUGAGCAGCUCUUUGUUGCAGGGUUUUGUCAAGGUAUGUUCUGACUUGUCCCCUGCAUGGUUGUGCAGUAAUUCUUGAUACUGAUAGUCAAUUACUUUGUUCACGUCACUCAGAGACUUUUUUUUUCCUUUCUUUCUCUCUGCAUGGCUAAUCCAGGAAAGACAACACAGAGCUAAACCACUGCUGCCAAAGGCAUGAACUCCUGGCCAGUUGGGGUGGUGCUGCCCUCCAGCCCUGCCAGCACAGGUAGCAAAGUGACCUCUGGAGCAAAGAGCCCUCCUUAUCUCUCUUAAAAUACCAGUGGGCCCAGGCUCCGAAAAACUUCCUUCCCGACGGGAUAAGCACUUACCCAGGUAAUCUCAUUACAGCCAUUGUUCUCUGAAGGUUAAUAAAUACUUACCAUGAUGAGUAAAGGCUCCGCAAUCUGACCCCAACAGCAGCAGAAGUGAUUGCUUAGGGCCAAAUUUUCAUACUCUUAUUAUGCUGAACACCAUAUUCCUCUGCGAGCAGAGCAGCGUUAGCACCAAAAUAAAUGUGACUGCUUGCAAAUAAGGUGUUGGCCCCACUUCUGGCCUCAA